ACUUAAAAACCAAAUAAAAAAAAACAAAAACAAUAAACAUAUUUGUUUGUUUGACUAUGUUUAGAGUGCCUCCACUGCGGGAAUACCGUCACGGAUACGGGUCUUCUGAUGAAGGCCACAAAAAGCACUGGCGAUGAAACAAAAAACAUAACUUUUUGACAGCUGUAAGUGUCCAUUCUGUCAGCUGACGAUAGGCGUCGUCUGGACGAUAAGUGUCUCUCCCUAUUGGCCAAAAGUGACGGCGCAGCUUUGCCAUAGGCUUCGUCUAGGCGUGCGCGACCAUGUUGACAUUGGCGUAUUUAUCGUCUGCACGUUAAGACGCCGUCUCAGAGACCUUGUUGAAAAAAUUAGAUAGUCGCCAACACUAAUAGUCGCCAACACUACUAUGUACUAUUUUUAACUCAUAGUAGAAGUUGAGUAGUUGAGUGAACACCAUGGCCGACCGAAAGGAAGCCACGGCGAAUGAACGAAACCCAAUUUUGGCACGCAGACUCCCAAGCAGAUUUCGCGUGGGAGGACCCUUAUUUCUAACGAUCGAUCAGAUUGAACUCCAGUCUCCAUGUCCAAGCAUCAAAGUUAGUUGGCAUUUAAAGAGAAUCAAAACAGAAAACUCAAGGCAAGAUCCAGGUCUUUGAAGACAAGACAAGCAAUACUGCACAAAAGAAGAUCACGAUGGAGGACCGUGGAGUCCAAACUGAUCCUGUAGUAAUGGAAGGGUCUACCACCAGUGCUGAGAAUGACGUUGAAUAUUACAGUACCAAGGCCGAAACAAGAAGAGUUGCCCUUGCCGAAGCAUUAGAGGAAAAUGAGAAACUGCAUCUUGAACGGGAUACCCUCAUAAGUGAGGUAAAUACCCUCAAAAGUGAGGUAAAUACCCUUAAAACUGAAAACAGUAUGCUCAAACCUCUAGCUGAUGAAGCUGAAUAUCUGGCUGGUGUUUUAGAGGGCCUUUUGGGCAGUCCAGAGGAUGAGGAACCAAAUGAAGGUGCUGAAAAUGCAAGCACAAGUGAUAGUUGACGCUUAUCGACCUGAAGUCAUUUCAAAAUUGCCACGCACCUCACAUUUAACUUUAUAGACCUUUUUAAGAUUCCUCGGUGUAAGCAGAGCGAAAAGUCGUGCGGCUAGUCGACUAGUGCGCACCAUGGCGGGGGAUAGCCGUAACUAGCUGCAGACUUGGCUUGAUUCUUCGAAUCACCUUGUUGUUCGGCUCUAUGUUACUGUAGUCUGCCUUACUUUAAGGGAUGAAAACUAUGAGAAUUACAAUAAUAACUACCUGAGACAAAGUGAUGUGAACACACAAAAUAGUUGCAACUUCUUCCAUAAAUCAACGCAAUAGGUUUGACAUACAACACAGAGUGCCAGACUACAGUAACAUAGAGCCGAACAACAAGGUGAUUCGGAGAAUCAAGCCAAGUCUGCAGCUAGUUACGGCUAUCCCCCGCCAUGGUGCGCACUAGUCGACUAGCCGCACGACUUUUCGCUCUGCUUACACCGAGGAAUCUUAAAAAGGUCUAUAGGCCUUUUGGGCAGUCCAGAGGAUGAGGAACCAUAUAUCCGCUUGUGUGAGAUGUGAAUCUAAGGAGUAUGGCGCUAAAGUAUUCCCGCACAUUUCAAGACCCUUCACGUGGUCUUCGCUGUCCUCGUGGACACUACCAGUAGAUUACUGACUACAUUGUUUUUUUUUUAUUUUUUUUAUUUUAGGACCAUGUAUGGAAUAAACAUUUAAAGUCUGA
rnacentral:misc_RNA from 1 species